CUCCUUCCCAUUUAUGAGAGAGCCACCUGACAUCAGUCCAUAGGCUGUGAAGAGUAUUCCAGAUCUAUCACAUUUCUGCGAUUCCCAGAUGGCUGGUCAUGAAAAAAAUUCCCUCUUCAGUUUAUGUAUAUGGCAGUGUGAAAUGCUGAGGAAAAACAAGAAGACAAAAGAUCUCCCAACCCAAAAAGGAAACACUUUCAAAAGCAAGCUCAGGUCCUGGACUAUCAACUCUGUCAACAAGAGGAGAAUAGAGGUUUUUACAUGCUACAGUUACGAAGACUGAGUUUCACCAACAGAAGCCCAUGAAGUUGUUGGCAUAUCCUUAA